rnacentral:rRNA from 1 species
UACGGGGGGAGCAAGCGUUGUUCGGAUUUACUGGGCGUAAAGGGCGCGUAGGCGGCUACGACAAGUCAGUUGUGAAAUCUCUGGGCUUAACUCAGAACGGUCAACUGAUACUGUCGGGCUAGAGUGCAGAAGGGGCAACUGGAAUUCUCGGUGUAGCGGUGAAAUGCGUAGAUAUCGAGAGGAACACCUGCGGCGAAGGCAGCUCUCUGGGACGGUACUGACGCUGAGGCGCGAAAGCGUGGGGAGCGAACAGG